rnacentral:misc_RNA from 1 species
ACCGGAACUGGUUCGGUCAAAACCAGACAAAAAACGAUUAAAACCGGAACCGACUUCAAACAGGACCGAAAUUGUCUUUCUGUGGUUUGGUUCAUAUUCAUAUUUUUCAGGAACCGUGAACCGGCGGUUUCGAACCGGAUUGAAUCGACGAUUUUAAACCGGAUUCAACCGGCGAUUUAAAUAGAAAAAAAUUCAAUAAAUAUGUUAC